AGUGAACGCUGGCGGUAGGCCUAACACAUGCAAGUCGAACGGCAGCACAGUAAGGGCUUGCUCUUACGGGUGGCGAGUGGCGGACGGGUGAGGAAUACAUCGGAAUCUACUUUUUCGUGGGGGAUAACGUAGGGAAACUUACGCUAAUACCGCAUACGACCUACGGGUGAAAGCAGGGGAUCUUCGGACCUUGCGCGAUUGAAUGAGCCGAUGUCGGAUUAGCUAGUUGGCGGGGUAAAGGCCCACCAAGGCGACGAUCCGUAGCUGGUCUGAGAGGAUGAUCAGCCACACUGGAACUGAGACACGGUCCAGACUCCUACGGGAGGCAGCAGUGGGGAAUAUUGGACAAUGGGCGCAAGCCUGAUCCAGCCAUACCGCGUGGGUGAAGAAGGCCUUCAGGUUGUAAAGCCCUUUUGUUGGGAAAGAAAAGCAGCAGGUUAAUACCCCGCUGUUCUGACGGUACCCAAAGAAUAAGCACCGGCUAACUUCGUG
rnacentral:rRNA from 1 species